UCCCCCGUAGCUCAGCAGGGAGAGCGCCACCUUGACAGGGUGGAGGUCUUAACUUUGAACCUCUCCGGGGGCA
rnacentral:tRNA from 1 species